UACGUAGGGGGCAAGCGUUGUCCGGAUUUAUUGGGCGUAAAGCGCGUGUAGGCGGCCACACAGGUCCGCUGUGAAAACUCGAGGCUCAACCUCGAGCUGUCGGUGGAAACCGUGUGGCUAGAGUCCGGAAGAGGAGACUGGGAUUCCCGGUGUAGCGGUGGAAUGCGCAGAUAUCGGGAGGAACACCCGUGGCGAAGGCGGGUCUCUGGGACGGUACUGACGCUGAGACGCGAAAGCGUGGGGAGCGAACAGG
rnacentral:rRNA from 1 species